AUUGAACGCUGGCGGCAGGCUUAACACAUGCAAGUCGAGCGGGGAAAAGUAGCUUGCUACUGGACCUAGCGGCGGACGGGUGAGUAAUGCUUAGGAAUCUGCCUAUUAGUGGGGGACAACGUUCCGAAAGGGACGCUAAUACCGCAUACGUCCUACGGGAGAAAGCAGGGGAUCUUCGGACCUUGCGCUAAUAGAUGAGCCUAAGUCGGAUUAGCUAGUUGGUGGGGUAAAGGCCUACCAAGGCGACGAUCUGUAGCGGGUCUGAGAGGAUGAUCCGCCACACUGGGACUGAGACACGGCCCAGACUCCUACGGGAGGCAGCAGUGGGGAAUAUUGGACAAUGGGGGGAACCCUGAUCCAGCCAUGCCGCGUGUGUGAAGAAGGCCUUUUGGUUGUAAAGCACUUUAAGCGAGGAGGAGGCUACCGAGAUUAAUACUCUUGGAUAGUGGACGUUACUCGCAGAAUAAGCACCGGCUAACUCUGUGCCAGCCGCCGCCGUAAUAC
rnacentral:rRNA from 1 species